rnacentral:tRNA from 1 species
AGGGGUGUCGCCAAGUGGUAAGGCAUCGGGUUCUGAUUCCGACAUUCCGGGGUUCGAAUCCCUGCACCCCUG